GACGAACGCUGGCGGCGUGCUUAACACAUGCAAGUCGAACGGAAAGGCCUGCUUUCCCUUGUGGAUUGCGGGUACGCGAGUGGCGAACGGGCGAGUAACACGUGAGUGAUCUGCCCCCAACUUGGGUAUAAGCCUGGGAAACUGGGUCUAAUUCCCGAUAGGACUGCAGGGUGGUGCCUGUGGUGGAAAACGAGUUUCUAGUGGUUGGGGAUGAGCUCGCGGCCUAUCAGCUUGUUGGUGGGGUUAUGGCCUACCAAGGCGGGGACGGGUAGCCGGACGGGGAGGGUCGACGGCGACAUUGAGACUGGGAUCCGACCCCGACUGGUACGGGAGGCAGGGGAGGGGAAUAUUGCGCAAUGGGCGGAAGCCUGAUGCAGCGAGGGAGCGAGGAAGAUCUCGGCAUUCGGGUUGUCUGCUCCUAUCGAAGGACAGGAAGCCACCUGGUUGGGAGCGUGGUGACGGUAGUGGUAGAAGAAGCACCGGCUAACUACGUG
rnacentral:rRNA from 1 species